UCCUAUAUCUGAAUGAAAAGACACAUACAUC
rnacentral:piRNA from 1 species